rnacentral:rRNA from 1 species
GACAGAGGGUGCAAACGUUGUUCGGAAUUACUGGGCGUAAAGCGCGUGUAGGCGGCAUUGCAAGUCGGGUGUGAAAGCCCUCAGCUCAACUGAGGAAGUGCGCCCGAAACUGCAGUGCUUGAGAACCGGAGAGGAUGGCGGAAUACCCCAAGUAGAGGUGAAAUUCGUAGAUAUGGGGUGGAACACCGGUGGCGAAGGCGGCCAUCUGGACGGAUUCUGACGCUGAGACGCGAAAGCGUGGGUAGCAAACAGG